rnacentral:rRNA from 1 species
AUUGAACGCUAGCGGGAUGCCUUACACAUGCAAGUCGAACGGAGUGGCGAACGGGUGAGUAAUGUAUCGGAACGUGCCCAGUAGCGGGGGAUAACUACGAGAAAGCGUAGCUAAUACCGCAUACUAUUGGAGCGGCCGAUAACGGAUUAGCUAGUUGGUGGUGUAGCGGCCCACCCAGGCGACGAUCCGUAGCUGUGUUGAGAGGGCGACCAGCCACACUGGGACUGAGACCCGGCCCAGACUCCUACGGGAGGAAGCAGUGGGGAAUUUUGGACAAUGGGUGAAACCCUGAUCCAGCCAUCCCGCGUGUGCGAUGAAUGCCUUCGGGUGGUAAAGCACUUUUGGCAGGAAAGCGGUACCUGCAGAAUAAGCAACGGCUAACUACGUGCCAGCAGCCGCGGUAAUUC